rnacentral:rRNA from 1 species
AUUAAGCCAUGCAUGUCUAAGUAUAAGCAAUUAUACCGUGAAACUGCGAAUGGCUCAUUAAAUCAGUUAUCGUUUAUUUGAUAGUACCUUACUACUUGGAUAACCGUGGUAAUUCUAGAGCUAAUACAUGCUGAAAACCCCAACUUCGGGAGGGGUGUAUUUAUUAGAUAAAAAACCAACGCCCUUCGGGGCUUCUUGGUGAUUCAUGAUAACUUCACGGAUCGCAUGGCCUUGCGCCGGCGACGGUUCAUUCAAAUUUCUGCCCUAUCAACUUUCGAUGGUAAGGUAUUGGCUUACCAUGGUUUCAACGGGUAACGGGGAAUUAGGGUUCGAUUCCGGAGAGGGAGCCUGAGAAACGGCUACCACAUCCAAGGAAGGCAGCAGGCGCGCAAAUUACCCAAUCCCGACACGGGGAGGUAGUGACAAUAAAUACUGAUACAGGGCUCUUUUGGGUCUUGUAAUUGGAAUGAGUACAAUUUAAACCUCUUAACGAGGAACAAUUGGAGGGCAAGUCUGGUGCCA